UACUCUGCCGGCUUCAGUGCAAGGCACCUGCUUCAAACAGUUACAUUCAUAAACACCUAAACUCUACGAAACCAAAAAAGUGUUGCUAUAUCCAAUUACAGACUACAUACGGCCAUAAAUUUAGUACAUUUUAAUGAGUUAGUAAAUCAUCAUUCUAAAUAUACUUUCUCAUAAACACGUAGAUGUGUAGAUGUACAAAUGUUUGCCGGUGCACCUAUCUCUCUGCCGAAAUAUUGUAUCGAUCCGAAGAUAAAUUUCGAUAAGGACUGAUAAGUUUUGUUAUAGUUUUAAAUAGUAAGAACGGUCACUAGGCUUCAGUCGUGGACAACUGUCAGACUCGCGAUCAGUGAUUACAAAGUUUUUCUAAUUUAAAUCAACAAAAUGUGCUGCUGUGUGUGUAAUCUCUUAUGCAAGAUCCUCAGUUUGAUCGUAUCUCUACUGUUCAUCGUGGCUGUCAUACUGCUCAUCUUAUGGGGCGUUGGAGUUAUAUUUGGCAAUAAUAAUACCGACACCGCCAAAGCGCUGAGCUUUAACGAAAUGACCUACAAUAACCCGAAACUACUUUGAUUACAACGACAACCUAUCUUCAUAAAUCUUACUAUACUUGUAAUACGAAAAAUGCAAUCCUGUGUACUCGUCAAUAUACACGAAAAAGAUCAAAAUGUAACUUCUCUCUCACUGUUUUAAUUGUAUAAAUUAUUACUUAUUAUAAUAUAACGUAAGCUAUUUUCUUAUCUUCAUUCUUUUCUUUCUCUCCUUCUCUUUAGUUUUAAUUGUAAAUAUAGCUUAAGUUAUAAAUAUAAACGUUGCUAGUUAUGAAUAUAUUGCACUAUAUUGUAUAUCUAGCUUCACGCAUUCAAUGCAUUUUAAAAACAUGUGACUAUUGGAUAAAACAUAGACUGAAUCUUGUCUGAAUCUUUGACUUUUAUGAUCAAAGGUCUAUUGACUUGUAACCCAACAAUCGCAUGUGUAAGUUCGCUUUUAUAUACAGUAUGUCUAUGAAUAUCUUCGCUGAUGGCAAAGAACAAACAACUAACAAACUAUUCGAAUUACGUCCACCAAUUACGUAUUUGACCUGAACCAAUUGAUAGAGCAUAUAUGUAAGUAAAUUGCCCGUAGUUAGUAGGUAAGUACAUGGUUACACUUCGUUUGUUUUGAGUAACUUAUAAUGCAUCACAUUUCUUCAUCUAACAAUUAAUGAAAAGAUCUUUUAGACAUUAAGCUCUUACACAGUUUAAGGCACCCAUGUACAAAUAUGGCUAGCAAAUAAAUGUUUAAAUAGAAGGUUGUUAUUUACUCGCUUAAGUCAAAAUCUUGAUCACACUAUAUCUGCUUGAAUAAUAAUAAUGUACUGGGAUCGAUCUAUCAUCACUGACAAGACUAUAGUAGCCAAGCAAUAAGCCUGAUAUAGUGUUGAUGUCGCCAUGUGGAAUGUCAACACGGCUGUUAUUGUGCCGAUUGUCGUUACGGCAAAUGGUCUAAUAGCCAAGAGCCUCGACCAACACCUCAUGAGGCUCUCGUUAGGUGGCUAGAUCAAGGGUCUGAUUCAGAGGGCAGUACUCCUUGAUACGGCGCGUAUUGUGAUGAUGUUUCUGUCCCUGGGCUUACUUACCGGUACCUUGUGGCUGAUGUUUUAUAUUUUUAAAUAUUUUUAUAUUGAUAUUUAAAAAAAACAUUAUGUUAUGUACACAAUUAAUGAAUAAACGAAAUAAUUUUAUCAUCGGUUUCCCCAUUCCUUUUCCAUUGCCAUCCCAUCACUCUUCUUAGCAUUGUACUUGAGUCACAAUAAAAAGUACGAUCAAGAAGAGUUUUUGUCAAUUGUUUUCAUCCAUAAACAAUUUUGAAGUUUUAGACAGACUUGUCAAAGUAAUUUGUAAGAAUGUCACCAGUUCAGUCUUUGCUAACGCUAAAUAUUAUAAUUAACACGUUAAUUCCGAGAAUAGAACUAACUACAGAAUAAUUAUUUGUUUAUAACGCUUAGAAGUCAUCAUAUAAUUGUGGAAACCUAUGGAUUUAUAGUAAGAAGCAGAAAACACAAACAUGUGCUUUAUGUGCAAGCUUCUUUGUCAGAUCUGCAGCUUGACGAUGGGUGUCAUGGUCGUCGGUGCGAUCUUCUUUUUAGCAUUCUGGUUCCUUCGAUGGUUAUUCGAUAGCUGUAAGCAUUUCUUCUUUUCGAAAUAGUUUUCAUGCGUAGAUUGAAGGGCACUUGAAGUAUUUUAGUCAUCUGCUGUUGUUAUAUAGACUGUGGUAUAGAUUCAUCAUCAUCCUCCUGCCCUUAUCCCAAUGUUAUUUGGGGUCGGCGCAGCAUGUUUUCUCCUUCCAUACUUUUCUAUGAGCCGUCAUCUCGCAAGUUACAUUCUUUCUAAUUAUAUCAUCUUUCACUGUAGUAUAGAUGCUUAUGUUUUAAUAUUUCCGACUAGUAGGUACAUUUUUUGUAUAGUAAAAGUAGAGAUAGGUUAGACUGUUUAUGGCAUAUGCACUUUGGGUUCUUCCAACUAGAUUGUUACUAUAUGAUUUUACUUCCCUUUAUUAACGCUAGACUUAAAAUAACAAAUUUAUAUUAUUUGCUAGAUUUGAUUACGUUAAAACUCGCUUUGAUUCAUAACAAUGUUUGCAUUUGUACUUUUUCUAAUCUGAAAAAUCCCAAAUGAAUCCACUGAAGAUGAUAAAAAUAACAAUUGUUUUCUUGUUUUCAGAAAUCAAGAUUAUAAUUUAGAUUGUAAGUCUAAGUUAUAAGUCAAAGGAUUGACUUUAAGGAUUGGUUUAAGUUAAGACUUAAGUUUUAGUAGUUCGGUUUACAACUGCACGCUUUUGACUAUCAUGACUUGUUAGCGGUUGAAGAUGUCUUCUAUACCAUGAAAAUAUCUUAAAAUAAUUUUAUUCUGGCUCAAGGUAAAAUAAAUAAAUUGUAUUAAACUCUA